rnacentral:rRNA from 1 species
UACAGAGGGGGCGAGCGUUUGUUCGGAAUUAUUGGGCGUAAAAGCGCGCGUAGGCGGCCCUCUAAGUCAGACGUGAAAUCCCUCGGCUCAACCGGGGAACUGCGUCUGAGACUGGAAGGCUUGAAUUCGGGAGAGGGAUGUGGAAUUCCAGGUGUAGCGGUGAAAUGCGCAGAUAUCAGGAAGAACACCAAUGGCGAAGGCAGCUCUCUGGGACGGUACUGACGGCUGAGACGCGAAAGCGUGGGGAGCGAACAGGG